UUUUAUGGAGAGUUUGAUCCUGGCUCAGGAUGAACGCUGGCGGCGUGCCUAAUACAUGCAAGUCGAGCGAACAGACGAGGAGCUUGCUCCUCUGACGUUAGCGGCGGACGGGUGAGUAACACGUGGAUAACCUACCUAUAAGACUGGGAUAACUUCGGGAAACCGGAGCUAAUACCGGAUAAUAUAUUGAACCGCAUGGUUCAAUAGUGAAAGACGGUUUUGCUGUCACUUAUAGAUGGAUCCGCGCCGCAUUAGCUAGUUGGUAAGGUA
rnacentral:rRNA from 1 species